ACCAAAACUUGUAAAAUUUUCAUGUUUGAACAACACUUGGUUUUCUCCACACAAUCAUUACAUUGUACAAAGAAAAGAGAAUUACACCAAUCAACACCUCUUGAUACAAGCAACGCCCAAUAUGAUCCCUCAUCAUCAUCACAUAGUAAAAAGUAUUAGACCUAAAACAAGGACUAAAAAAUAUAUAUAAAAAUAAAUGUGAAAAAUACUCAACACUACCAACCCAUUGGAAGAAACCAUUUGACUUCUACCUGGCUGUGCCUCAAUUUACAGAGGGAGAAGCCCAACUUGCAACUUUCAGCACAUAUCCAAAAGGAAACCUACGCCGUGCACAAUCUGCUUCUCUAACUUGUAUCUUUCAUACUAUCAUAGCACCUUGUAAUCUGGUUCCCAAACUGUGCAUCUUUUAUAAUCUCAAGGCCUACCGUGUGCUGAAAACCGGCGAAAAACCAAAGUCAAAGCCUUUAAAAUUUGUUACGAGAGAGAUUACAAGUUUGGAAAUGCCUAUAUUUGGCAUCAUGCUCUUAUACGAAACAGGGAAUCACCAUGUAG
rnacentral:lncRNA from 1 species